rnacentral:rRNA from 1 species
GACGAACGCUGGCGGCGUGCUUAACACAUGCAAGUCGAACGGAAAGGCCCUGCUUUUGUGGGGUGCUCGAGUGGCGAACGGGUGAGUAACACGUGAGAAACCUGCCCUUGACUUUGGGAUAACUUCAGGAAACUGGGGCUAAUACCGGAUAGGAGCUCCUGCUGCAUGGUGGGGGUUGGAAAGUUUCGGCGGUUGGGGAUGGACUCGCGGCUUAUCAGCUUGUUGGUGGGGUAGUGGCUUACCAAGGCUUUGACGGGUAGCCGGCCUGAGAGGGUGACCGGCACGGGUGGGAGGGACAUCGCGCCCAGGCUCGUGGGGGGAGCGGGAGUGGGAAAGAUGACGCGAUGGGCGGCAGACUGACGCAGCGGCGCAGGGUGGGGACUUAGGGCCUGCUGUUAGUCACCCGCUGCCUCGUGUGACGGGGCGUGAGUAACGGUGAGGGGUAAAAAAGCACCUACGACCUACGGGGCGGCAGCCGAAGUAAUAGAGCAGGCGAGCACACUCUUAGC